UCAUCACCAUCAUCAUCCCUAAGGUGUCUUUCGGGAGAUGUACGCAUACCCGGGGGACAGGAAUCUCCCGGAGUUGAAAUCAGAGCCAUAAAAAGAUUCUAACCCUCGGGAGACCAAACCUCCCGAGGGUUUUU
rfam:Vibrio cholerae O1 biovar eltor str. N16961 chromosome I, complete sequence.